AACGAACGCUGGCGGCAUGCCUAACACAUGCAAGUCGAACGAGACCUUCGGGUCUAGUGGCGCACGGGUGCGUAACGCGUGGGAACCUGCCCUUAGGUUCGGAAUAACUCCCCGAAAGGGGUGCUAAUACCGGAUAAUGUCUUCGGACCAAAGAUUUAUCGCCUUUGGAUGGGCCCGCGUUGGAUUAGCUAGUUGGUAGGGUAAAAGCCUACCAAGGCGACGAUCCAUAGCUGGUCUGAGAGGAUGAUCAGCCACACUGGGACUGAGGCACGGCCCAGACUCCUACGGGAGGCAGCAGUGGGGAAUAUUGGACAAGGGGCGAAAGCCUGAGCCAGCAAUGCCGCGUGAGUGAUGAAGGCCUUAGGGUUGUAAAGCUCUUUUACCCGGGAGGAUAAUGACAGUACCGGGAGAAUAAGCUCCGGCUAACUCCGUG
rnacentral:rRNA from 1 species